rnacentral:rRNA from 1 species
AUAAUGGUGCAUGGAAUAAUAGAAUACGAUCUCGGUUCUAUUUUGUUGGUUUUCGAACCGGAGAUAAUGAUUGAAAGGAACAGACGGGGGCAUUCGUAUUGCUGCGUUAGAGGUGAAAUUCUUGGAUCGCAGCAAGAUGAACAAUUGCGAAAGCAUUUGCCAAGAAUGUUUUCAUUAAUCAAGAACGAAAGUUAGAGGUUCGAAGGCGAUCAGAUACCGCCCUAGUUCUAACGGUAAACUAUGCCAACCAGCGAUUCGCCGAAGUUCAUUUGUUGAAUGAAUUGUUGACGUAUUGUGAAACAUUGUUGCACCAUGAAUUUGGGGCAAAAUAUGCGAAUUGCAUUGAUGAUGAAAUUAAAGUUUUAAUCGACAAGCACGCCAAACUUAUGGAACAGUAUGAAAAUUUCCAAGAAGAAAAGGGUCGUCUGUUUGAAAUACGUCACAUUUGCGACGUUUUGAACGCGCGACUGUUUGAGUUGUAUGAAUCUGUGAAAGAAGCAAGAAGAGAAAAGUUCCACGCGGGUGUUCGUACUCCGGUGAACAGCGAUUCGCCGAAGUUCAUUUAAGACUCGGCGAGCAGCUUCCGGGAAACCAAAGUGUUUCGGUUCCGGGGGAAGUAUGGUUGCAAAGCUGAAACUUAAAGGAAUUGACGGAAGGGCACCACCAGGAGUGGAGCCUGCGGCUUAAUUUGACUCAACACGGGAAAACUCACCCGGCCCGGACACUGGAAGGAUUGACAGAUUGACAGCUCUUUCUUGAUUCAGUGGGUAGUGGUGCAUGGCCGUUCUUAGUUGGUGGAGCGAUUUGUCUGGUUAAUUCCGAUAACGAACGAGACUCUACCCUAUUAAAUAGUGACAGUAUUGUAUUUUUUGUGCAAAUUGAAAGCUGCACGAAAAAGAGCAAUAACAGGUCUGUGAUGCCCUUCGAUGUCCGGGGCUGCACGCGCGCUACAAUGAAAGCGUCAACGUGAGUUACGUCCUUACCUGAAAAGGUUUGGCAAUCGAAUGAAACGUUUUCUUGAAUGGAAUAGGGAAUUGCAAUUGUUUCCCUUGAACGAGGAAUUCCCAGUAAGCGUGAGUCAUUAGCUCGCGUUGAUUACGUCCCUGCCCUUUGUACACACCGCCCGUCGCUACUACCGAUUGGAUGAUUUAGUGAGGUGUUUUGACUGGCGCCAGUAGUCGGAUAUGUAUUCGGCUUCGCGCCGGGAAAUUUCCCAAACCAAAUCAUCUAGAGGAAGUAAAAGUCGUAACAAGGUUUCCGUAGGUGAACCUGCGGAAG